UACGUAGGUGGCAAGCGUUGUCCGGAAUUAUUGGGCGUAAAGCGCGCGCAGGCGGUCCUUUAAGUCUGAUGUGAAAGCCCACGGCUCAACCGUGGAGGGUCAUUGGAAACUGGGGGACUUGAGUACAGAAGAGAAGAGUGGAAUUCCACGUGUAGCGGUGAAAUGCGUAGAGAUGUGGAGGAACACCAGUGGCGAAGGCGACUCUUUGGUCUGUAACUGACGCUCAUGCACGAAAGCGUGGGGAGCAAACAGG
rnacentral:rRNA from 1 species